rnacentral:rRNA from 1 species
AUCAACUUUCGAUGGUAGGAUAGAGGCCUACCAUGGUGGCAACGGGUAACGGGGUGUUAGGGCACGACACCGGAGAGGGAGCCUGAGAAACGGCUACCACAUCCAAGGAUGGCAGCAGGCGCGCAAAUUACCCAAUCCCGACACGGGGAGGUAGUGACAAUAAAUAACAAUACGGGGUCCUUUGGGUCUCGUGAUUGGAAUGAGUACAAUUUAAAUCUCUUAACGAGGAACAAUUGGAGGGCAAGUCUGGUGCCAGCAGCCGCGGUAAUUCCAGCUCCAAUAGCGUAUAUUAAAGUUGUUGCAGUUAAAAAGCUCGUAGUUGAAUUUCGGGAUUAGUAGGUUGGUCGUGCCUCUGGUAUGUACUCGCCUUACUGGUUCCUCCUUCUUGAAGAACUGUAAUGCCAUUAAUUUGGUGUUGCAGGGAAACAGGACUGUUACUUUGAGAAAAUUAGAGUGUUUAAAGCAGGCCAUUGCCUGAAUACAUUAGCAUGGAAUAAUGAAAUAGGACGUUGAUCCUAUUUUGUUGGUUUCUAGGAUUGACGUAAUGAUUAAUAGGGAUAGUUGGGGGGCAUUAGUAUUCAAUUGUCAGAGGUGAAAUUCUUGGAUUUAUUGAAGACUAACUACUGCGAAAGCAUUUGCCAAGGAUGUUUUCAUUAAUCAAGAACGAAAGUUAGGGGAUCGAAGACGAUCAGAUACCGUCGUAGUCUUAACCAUAAACUAUGCCGACUAGGGAUCGGAUGAUGUUAAUUUUUUAAUGACUCAUUCGGCGCCUUACGGGAAACCAAAGUGUUUGGGUUC